rnacentral:rRNA from 1 species
AACGAACGCUGGCGGCAUGCCUAACACAUGCAAGUCGAACGAGACCUUCGGGUCUAGUGGCGCACGGGUGCGUAACGCGUGGGAACCUGCCCUUAGGUUCGGAAUAACUCCCCGAAAGGGGUGCUAAUACCGGAUAAUGUCUUCGGACCAAAGAUUUAUCGCCUUUGGAUGGGCCCGCGUUGGAUUAGCUAGUUGGUAGGGUAAAAGCCUACCAAGGCGACGAUUCAUAGCUGGUCUGAGAGGAUGAUCAGCCACACUGGGACUGAGACACGGCCCAGACUCCUACGGGAGGCAGCAGUGGGGAAUAUUGGACAAUGGGCGAAAGCAUGAUCCAGCAAUGCCGCGUGAGUGAUGAAGGCCUGAGGGUUGUAAAGCUCUUUUACCCGGGAUGAUAAUGACAGUACCGGGAGAAUAAGCUCCGGCUAACUCCGUG